AGAAGAGCAUUGGUGGUAUAAAUACCCAGCAUAAACAGGAUUAAAAGAGCAACUACUGACUCCAUCAGAGAAGUGUGAAGUGAGAGAGACAAGCAUAGAGAGAGAAUAAAGUGUAAGCAUCAGGAGCACUGUGUACUGCAGUGUGUCUCAACACGCUCGCUUUACUACAAUACUCAACUUGGGAGACAAGAAGCGUCACUUCUCUGAACUCUUUUACUGGAACGCCAUCCCAUCUCUCUCUCUCUCCAUCAGACACGCUCGUACACACAAAUGGAGAAUAUGUCUUGGUGCUGAAGUAUUGCUGAAGUUCAAACUGGGCCACUGGAUACAUCUAUUUUGGUCCACUCAGUGGCACCAGUCCCACUGGACACGCACCCACACACGGACAACAUCGCAGAGUUCAGGAUCCAUGGAAGAGCAGCAGUCCAAGUACCACCAUGAGAGGUGAGGGGUGCCGGACACGACUCUGAGAGAUGGCUGGGAGAGCGUGGUGCAUUAAAAAUACAGGUCCCCACAAGAGAUUUCUGGUCUCAGCUAGUGCUAUAAAUCAAUAGCCGUGCACUCUUCAUCAAGACAUUUCUACCCGGCUACAAACGGAAUGGCUUUCUUGAGCACUUGCUGACCAGAAGCCACACUCCAGAGGAUACUAUUUUUGUGGACGUCUGAAGUCUAUUUCGCACUGCGGCUCUGAAAAAACACUGGAUGAUUAAACAAUGUAUUUAUAUAUAUAUGCAUAGCUGAUAAAGCUGAUAAGUCUUUAAACCACCUGUCAAUGUUCUUUUUUUUAUGCUUACGCUGACACUUCCUUCAAAGCUUUUGCCACUUCAGAGAAUAUUCCUAUCAGCUUUGGACUGUCUAAAUCGCAGCUAUUUUUACUCCACUACAUAUUUAGAUAAAAGUCUCCCAUUACAGAAUUCUGUUCAAAACAUUUUGUCUGAAUGAGUGACAGCAGAAGGGAGGUUCACUCUCUAAAAUCUUCACAAUUUUACAACCUGUCUACAGUCUGUUGCUAAUCAUGGUUUUCCGUCAUCAGAAGUGACUUCCAUCUUUUUUCAUGCAAAAUGAAACACAUUAGCAUAUUUAUGGGCUGAGAUAUAUCCAAACGUGUACAACGUGCUACAUGGAUCUUGCAUUCAGUCAUCAAGAGAAGGAACAAAUAGCUUCUGAGAUGUGAAGAAAAUGGAACAUUCAAGAGCUCUGUGCAUUUAAACACAUGGACUAAAAUCACAGGGUUAACUUGGGAGGAGAUGGAGGAGCACAUGAGUUAGUUUCCUUGCUAAGGUUAAUGCUUGUAUCUGUGUGAAAUCAACCUUAAAACUAUUUAAAUUGUUGUUACUGCCAUCAUAUAAAUGACAUAUUCAUAAAAGUAAAAUUGUUGGCCAUAUCAGCCGGAAAGCAUUAGUUGGUG
rnacentral:lncRNA from 12 species